UACGUAGGGGGCGAGCGUUGUCCGGAAUGACUGGGCGUAAAGAGCUCGUAGGCGGCUUGGCAAGUCGGGUGUGAAAACUUCAGGCUCAACCUGGAGCGGCCACUCGAUACUGCCAUGGCUUGAGUCCGGUAGGGGACCACGGAAUUCCUGGUGUAGCGGUGAAAUGCGCAGAUAUCAGGAGGAACACCGGUGGCGAAGGCGGUGGUCUGGGCCGGAACUGACGCUGAGGAGCGAAAGCGUGGGGAGCGAACAGG
rnacentral:rRNA from 1 species